rfam:Gossypium arboreum cultivar AKA8401 contig_4742_5, whole genome shotgun sequence.
ACUUGGUGAUGAGGAAACUACUUUCGCAUGUCAUUAAAACAUCCCCAUGACUCACAUAAAAUUUCUUUAUUAUAUUACCGGAAACGAUAAUGUCAUUCCACAACUU